UGGUAGCAAUGAAACGGAGAGGAGUUUUUUGCGAUACUGUCUUAAUUAUGUGAUUUGAAUGGACCUUUUCUUUUAAGAAUGUUUGCUUUCUAUCCGGCCGGCUUCCCCGCCAAUUAACUUACCUCUCCCACCUUCACGCCCUCCUCGUCUUUUAUUACAUAUAUAUUUUAUUAGAAUCAGAAAGACAGAUCAGAAGCUAGCGCCUAUUUACUCGGAGCCGACAUCUUCGACUCUCGUAUGAAUAAUUGGUACCGCACAUUUUUCAGAUAUUGACACAUCAGCCUAGCUAGCCUAGGAGAACCAAAGGAGCUCAGCGACCAGGUCAAGUAUUAGUAGUACUGGACCAUGCAUGUAUGAACAGAUCAGAUAAAUAUUAAUGUUAUUAUUAUCCUAAUUAAAUUUUGAUAUAAUUUCCAAUAUACUUGUUAAGGGUGUUCAAUAAUUUUUGUUAAAAAAUAUAAAACCAUCUAAAAUAUCAUGUAUAAUUAUAAAUUAUAAAAUUUAAUUAGAAUUAAUAUCACUCACAAGAUAAGUUAUAUUAAUGCCUUCUCAUGAUCAGUUUAAAUGGCACAGUAUAUAUAUAUAUAUAGGCCGUUCCCUUUCAGCCGGGAGGCCAGGGAGUAGAAUUGAGAGAUCAAUAAUGCAGCAUGCAGCCAUUCAUGGAUUAAUCAAGCAAUGUGUCCAGUGAGUUAAGUCCUACGUUUUGCUAGCUGUUCGCCCUACGUACGCAUACACCGACCAACCCAAUUCUUUCUUGCUGAGACUUAAGAAACUGAUACGCAUUCAUUUCAGACACGAUCGAAUUCAUUUCAGACAACUUUCGAUGGAAUUAUCGAUUAAGUUCAGAAUGUAUAUAUUACACGAUCGAUCUCACUAGUAUUAUUUUUCUACAGCAGGCUUGCACGUACGCGACGCACACAGAAAGUAAGAUUGUACUUCAAAAUACGCACAUCAUGCAUGGACAAUGCAAACACUCAGAGAGAGAGAGAGAGAGAGAGAGAGAGAGAAGGUGAUGCAAACCGGGUAUACAAUCUGGAGAAAGGCGCAGCAGUACUGCCAAAAUCUCACAGCCAUUUUCGAUUUCCCAUAUGCUUUGCUUUUUUAUCUUCAUUUUUCUCUUGAGAAACAGUGUGGAAUAUUGAUCAGAAGCUCACAAAAAGAUCCAAGAGAGGGAGGAGGAGGCCGCCGAUAUAUAUAUAUAUAUAUAUAUGGGUACGUGGUUUUAUUUGGGAACGAAUUGGUUUUCUAAGCCAUGGCCAAGCAAUAAUGUCGACAUUAUAUAUAUGUUUUGAUAUUACUUGCCCAAAAAUAAUGUCGACAUUGUU